GACGAACGCUGGCGGCGUGCUUAACACAUGCAAGUCGAACGGAAAGGCCCUGCUUUUGUGGGGUGCUCGAGUGGCGAACGGGUGAGUAACACGUGAGUAACCUGCCCUUGACUUUGGGAUAACUUCAGGAAACUGGGGCUAAUACCGGAUAGGAGCUCCUGAUGCAUGGUGGUGGUUGGAAAGAUUCGGCGGUUGGGGAUGGACUCGCGGCUUAUCAGCUUGUUGGUGGGGUAGUGGCUUACCAAGGCUUUGACGGGUAGGCGGCCUGAGAGGGUGACCGGCCACAUUGCGACUGAGAUACGGCCCAGACUGCUACGGUAGGCAGCAGUGGGGAAUAUUGCACAAUGGGCGGAAGCCUGAUGCAGCAACGCCGCGUUCGGGAUGACGGCCUUCGGGUUGUAAACCGCUUUCGCCUGUGCCGAAGCGUGAGUGACGGUAAUGGGUAAAGAAGCACCGGCUAACUACGUG
rnacentral:rRNA from 1 species